CGCUCAUUUUGGAUACAAUCUAAACCAACACUGGAUAGCCCAGACCACAGGAGAUGGGAAAUACCACAGCAAGUGUAGGCUUGGGACAGAACGCAUGACUGUCUCCUUCCCUGGACUCCGCUCGCUUGUCCACCUGCCCGCUAGGUGGCGGUGUCUCUGGGCUCCGACUGGGCGCUCUGCUCUGCUCUGCUCGGGCGUUGCAGUCUUCCGAGGAAACGCCAUCUACUCACAGCGCCUGCUUCCACCUUCCUUCCCAUGUUACCAGAUCUGCACUUCCAGCCCUGCCAUGGUGCCACCUCGGCGUGCCACAGGUUCGAAGAAAGAAUAUGGCUGGAUGCAGCUCUUCCAGUGGUUAUACACACUACGUGGAGGAUGUGAGAGGAACUGGGAAGCAGACCAGAUACCACCUAGAUCCGCGUCAUACCUGUCCUUCCACAUCUGAAAGACCAAGAGCACAGGCUCUGGACGCGCAGGCUCAGCGGCCGUGGCUCACGGGCCCAGCAGCUCCGCGGCAUGUGGGAUCUUCCCGGACCAGGGCAUGAACCCGUAUCCCCUGCAUCGGCAGGCGGACUCUCAAUCACUGCGCCACCCGCCUCGUUUCAAUGUUGAUGUGUUAUUCAUUGACUGGAAUAAAAAUGAGUUCCUACCUAGCCAGGGCUUGGAGCAGGGCUUGGCGUGAGGAAAGCUCUCCAGCACGGGGACUAUUAUUACCAUUAGUAUUUUGUGGUUCGCCCUUGGAGCCCUACGAGACAAAGGAGACCUGCACCCAGGGCCUGGGCCAGCGGGGACCUCAGGACAAGCUCUCUACCAUCACUGGCUGCACAGGGGAUGCAGAGCAGCUGGGGCGGCUACUGGGGGCUCCAAACACUCUCAGAGGAUGCCCAGGGGCUCCAGAACCAAAGGGAAGACUCCGUGUGAGAACCCUGGACUAGACAGACCUGGGGGAGACCGAGUGCAAUCGUGGCUGCAAUGUCAGACCUCCUAUCUGGAGCCAGAAUGCUCUUCCCUGCCCCCCACCCCCCUGCAAGGCCCCGGGGACAAGCCACUUCACCCUGUGACCCCAGGGAGGUGAGAUGUGGUGCUAUGACUCUGGGUGAGAGAUGCACGUACCUUGGGGCCAGCAGGUCCCUGUUCUCCAGCUGCUCCAGGCUCCCCCUGUUGCACGACAAAAUUGGAGUGAAAUGGGCACAAAGUCAGGUACACAGAAUCUGGUGUCCCCAGAUGGGCCGUGUGUUAGGGAACUCAGAGGGGGCCAGGAGGCUCGGCUCAGCUCAGGCUGAGAGGCGCAGGGCUCCCUGUGCCUCCCGUGCAGGCUCCACCCCUUGGGAAGCACCUCCACCGGCCAGCAAGCCCCUCUCCCUCCCAGCUCCCUCCAGCUUCUUGCUGGAAGAUCCUUCUGUCCCAUGUUAGUUGUUGGUGAUUCCACCCAUGUCCGUCUGGCCACCUCCCUCCGGUCUCCUAAGUCAGCCACCUCCUCGGGAGCAGGGACCAGACCCUCUGCCCCUCUUUAUUUCUAUCCUGCUCGAGGAGCAAGGGCUCAGAAAGUUUUUGCCAAUUGCCUGGGUGGUUGACAAUUUCCGUGGACAGCCCAGGCGGUUCCUGUCUGCUGGUGAAAGACCCAAACUGUGGGAGGAAACAUGGGGGCCAGGGCGAGGCGUUAGAACACCCAGCCUCCUGGAGCGGGUCGGGAUGGGGGGAUUUGUUUCUGUUGGAAACAGGGCAGAACUGUGGGGAAUAAAUGAA